rnacentral:rRNA from 1 species
GAUGAACGCUGGCGGCGUGCCUAAUACAUGCAAGUCGAGCGAACAGACUAUGAGCGUGCUCCUCUAACGUUAGCGGCGGACAGGUGAGUAACACUUGGUUAACCGACCUAUACGACUGGAAUAACUUCGGGAAACCCGAGCUAAUACCUGAUAAUAUAUUUAAACUCCUUUUUCAAUAGUGAAAGACGGUUUUGCUGUCACUUGUGGCUUUAUCCGCUGCGCAUUAGCUAGUUGGUAAGGUAACGGCUUACCAAGGCUACCAUGGUUGGCCUACCUGAGGGGGGGAUCGCCAAACCUGGACCUGGGACACGGUCCAGACUCUUCCGGGAGGCGGCAUAAGGGAAUCUUGCGAAAUGGGCGAAAGCCUGACGGAGCACCGCCGCGUAAUUGAUGAAGGUCUUCGGAUCGUAAAACUCUGUUAUUAGGGAAGAACAAAUGUGUAAGUAACUAUGCACGUCUUGACGGUACCUAAUCAGAAAGCCACGGCUAACUACGUG